UCCCUGGUAGUCCAGUGGUUGAGACUUUGCCUUGCAAUGCAGGGGGUGCGGGUUUAAUUCCUGCUCAGGGAG
rfam:Ovis aries breed Texel chromosome 17, whole genome shotgun sequence.